rnacentral:rRNA from 1 species
UUGAACGCUGGCGGCAUGCUUUACACAUGCAAGUCGAACGGUAACAGGUUAAGCUGACGAGUGGCGAACGGGUGAGUAAUGCAUCGGAACGUGCCCAGUCGUGGGGGAUAACGCAGCGAAAGCUGUGCUAAUACCGCAUACGAUCUAUGGAUGAAAGCGGGGGACCGUAAGGCCUCGCGCGAUUGGAGCGGCCGAUGUCAGAUUAGCUAGUUGGUGGGGUAAAGGCCCACCAAGGCGACGAUCUGUAGCUGGUCUGAGAGGACGACCAGCCACACUGGAACUGAGACACGGUCCAGACUCCUACGGGAGGCAGCAGUGGGGAAUAUUGCACAAUGGGGGAAACCCUGAUGCAGCCAUGCCGCGUGUGUGAAGAAGGCCUUCGGGUUGUAAAGCACUUUCAGCGAGGAGGAAAGGUUGGCAGCUAAUAUCUGUCAGCUGUGACGUUACUCGCAGAAGAAGCACCGGCUAACUCCGUG